rnacentral:rRNA from 1 species
AUGCCAAUGGACAAAGCACUAGAGCCGGAUGGGUUCACAGGGAGGUUCUACGCCACGUGCUGGAACAUUAUCUAGACAGAUUUCUUGAAGGCUAUGGACUGCAUGACCGAGAGGGAAUUGAGGGGAAUAGCGGCAAUCAACAAAUCACUUGUGUCAUUACUUUCAAAGAGGGAAGGGGCAUUGGAUCUGGGCGAUUUUCGACCAAUAAACCUAGUGCAUGGGGCUAUCAAAAUAUUUGAGAAGGUUCUCUCGUCUCGGCUAGCGGUGGAACUUCCGAAUCUAGUGGCAAAUCACCAGAGCGUGUUCGUGAAAGGAAGGUCCUUGCAUGAAAAUUCCAUGCUAGUACAGUGUAUGGCACGACGACUGCAUGUGUUGAGGAAUUUUUCCGUAUUGCUUAAGUUGGAUAUCUCUAAGGCCUUUGAUUCCAUGCAAUGGCCUUUCCUGUUGGAAGUGAUGCAACAUCUUGUUUUUGGUCACAAGUGGAGA